UGGCAAGCAAUGAUUUACUUAAAUAAUUAAGUUGUGACUUGAGUUAUAUUGACGUCGUCCGGGCCUGCGGCCCCUUUGAGCCCGAUACGACACCGCCCAACCACCAUCUAUAUUCAAACCUCCCGCUCGUGCGUGCGUGUGUGCGUGUGUGUCUAGCCCGGCAAGAGGGCGCUUAGAAGCAGUGCGGCGACCCCUAAAAUUGCUAUGUUAAUAUUAAUUGUAAGCCUUUUUGUUGUUUUCAUCCAUCUUCGCCCCAGUGCUGUGCAGUUUACUUGUGUUUUCUUUAAUUUAAAUAAGUUACCUUAAAUAACUAUAGACGUUGCCCGGGCGGACCCGAACAGGCACGGACUUGGACGAGGAUAGGAAUGCUUUUAUAUAAAUUAUCAUUAAAUAAGUAAAUAGUAACAAACUUUCCAUUGUCAGUAAUUUUUAUAUAUUUUUAAUGUUUAUCUGUAAUUUACUCAACUUUCGCCGGGGCACGGAGUCGUAGAAUAUAGUAACGGUAAUUGCGUUGGCGCGAAGGGCGCCAUGUUGCCACCUGCGAGCGAUGAGCUCAGCCCAGUCCAUCUUCAUCACUGACCGAGAGCAGACGCGCCAGCACCCCGGGGACCUCAACCUUUGUUCAUCACUGACCAAGUAAUUUCUGUAUCGUUAAUUCUUUUUAAAUCGCUUUCGUUCGUCAUCCUCGGGGCAGCUCUCGGUCAGCGGGCUGUUUAAUUAAUUAAUUGUCUCAGUCGAGUUUUUCAUCACCGUGUAAUAAGUAUACUUUGCAGCAUGGCCACGUGUGUGGACCAUGCCCUCACCUAAACCGAUUCGUGCCUCAGGCUUUUUAACCGUGUAAUGUGUAACGUGUAACGGGCGUGUAGAGAGACGUGUUAGUGAAAUUAAAUCUGGAGAAUAAAUAUAAAGUGAGUACUUAUUUAAUCACGUGGUGAGUGAGUCUAGGAGUGUGGCGUGCCCGACGCCUAGAGCGGGCCAGGUCUGGGUAGCUAGGAUAGAAAGGGCUGGUAACUCGUCCCCACUUGGGCUACGUCACGCCCUGAGUGAGAGACUCCGCCGGGUCCACGUGCCCUUCCACGUGGUGGCGCCCAUAGUUAACAUCUCGAAAUAACCGGCAAUGCGCGAUCAGCCCUCAAAUGGCGCCCAAGAGCGUGGGGCGAGUUACAUCUUCCGCGAAAACCAGACCUGUACGAGCGUGUGAGAUAGGCGGUUGUUACGCGGAGCGCGCGGAACUAAAGUUCGCGCCGGAACUAUUGUUCGCGCGGAGCGCAUAGCGGGACUCUGGCGCGCCAGCCACGUGAUCAGCCAAGCGCACGCUUCCAGGAAUCCGCGCACAAACAACGGACUCCGAGCGCAGUAAGUAACACAGUGCUGAUGUGUUCGUGAGGACUGUUCGUGUGCAGAGUACCACGUGCGUAGACAUGUAUCCGUAUCCGGACGAGUGUAUCGGGUGUUACUUUCCCCGCCCGAGUUGGGACUUGCAUGGCAGGACCGCCGCCGGAUACGAGUGUGGCUACUGUACGGAGUACCGCAUACACGGCGUGACGAAAUGUGGAGCUAGGUCGUGUCCCGGAGGUAGUAGCGAGGGAUACCGCUGCCAGGAAUGUGCCGGCCUGUGGCAUCGUGGCUGUAUCGGCGAACGUGAAUGGACCGUACUGCGCAAGUUUUUUACCUUCACGUGCGCACGGUGCACUGCCUACCUAGCCACCCAGGCGCAGUACGAGGCAGAGACGCUGGAAAAUCCUCCACGACACGCCUCGACGCUUCCCGAAACGCCGACGCCGCUCACGCCGACACCGACUCCGAUCACGCCGACACCACUCACGCCGAAAAAGACGCCGCUCACGCCGACGCCAACCACGCCGGAAAAGACGCUGCUCGACUCGCCGACGCAGCCCGUGCCAAGGACGCCGCCCGUUGCCGGAACGUCACCGCCGCACCAAGCCGACUCCUCACGCACGACGCCGACCCCAGCACCACGAAGGUACGUCCUGACGUCACCCGCACCGCCACGUGUUACGUUACCGACGCCUACCGCUCUGACAAAGACGCCCGUCGUCCUGACGCCCACGCCCGUCGUCCCGACGCCGACGGCCGCCGUCCCGACGCCCGCCGUGCCGACGCUCAUCGACUUGACGUCUCCCGACACAAGUCCGAUCCCGCCGCCGCCUGCCACACUGCGUUUCGUCGACCCGACGCCACUUAUCCCGACUCCGACGCUCGCCGUCCCGACGCCGACAAUUCCGCUCCCACCUCCUGUCCUGGAGCCGCCAACCUCGGCACCUCUCGUCGACCUGACGUCUCCCGACGCUGGUCCUAACGCAUCAUCGCCAGCAAGACCUCGUUUCGCCGACCUGACGCCACUCAUCCCGACUAUGAUGACGCCUGACUCGCCGAAGCCAACCGAGCGACGCCCGACAACGACCGUCCCGCCGCAGUCUGCGACGCCGUCCAGCACCCGCCUCGUGUCGGAGACACCUCCCGACGCCGGAAUGACCUCGCCACCGCACCGAACCGCCGUCCCGACGCCACCAAGGUCAUUUCCGGCGAAACCCGCAUCGUCUCCGCCACACGACUCGCCACGGACGCCUCCAGACUCGACGCCGACGCUUCGUGUCACCCUGUCGCCACCACCUGGCUUCGACGUCAUCAUGCCGUCGUCACCGCCACCAGAGUGCGCAGUAGCAAACAGGACGCUUUGCGACACGAUGUCCAGGGCCCUGACGCCGAGACGCCUGAGCGCCGCCCCGCCGCCUGGGUUCGCUCCUCUGUGCCCGCCCGGAUUCGCCCCGCUGUGCCCGCCUGGCUUCGAAGCACAGCCAGUUGAUCAUGCCCGAGUGAGACAGACGCGCGCGACGCCGACACUGACGCCGCCUCCAUGCCCACCUGACGCGACGCCCGGAACGACCGAGACGCCACGACGCCCGAUUCCGACGCCGAUCGCCGCAGUACCGGAACACCGGUCAAGUGCCCUGCCGCACGAGACGCCACCCAAAUGUCGCAAGUUGGCAACAUUGGGACGCCGCACCGUGAAGAAUCGCCUGAGCUCCCUGCGUCCGCCUGUCGCGAUGCAGGUCGACGCCACGACGCCGGGACGCCCGACCGUCCCACCACCGAACGUGACCACCACCCGGACUUCGACACCUGUCACCCGUCUGUCACGACGGGCCGCGAAGCGCCCGCCUGUCGGCGAGGCUGAGCCGGGCCGUGCCGAGCGCCGCCCGCGCUUGCUGCCCGCCUGCCACGAGCCGCCUGACCUUGGCCGCCGCCGCCCCUGCCGGCCGGCGCCCUGGCCACCGCCGCGCUGUCACACGCAGCAGCAGCAGCCGCCGCAGCCGCAGCUGACGCAGAUUUGGGGCUCGGGACAACUGGUGGGUCACCACCCACAAGGUUAGUUAGUCAGCGCCCAUUCUGUCCGUGUGUAUCGUCCCCCAUAGUGUAAACAUUGCUCAACUGUCAUCAUGUAAACAUUGCUCGCCCUUCCAUCGUGUAAACAUUGCUUGUCCGUCCGCCAUGUCAACAUUGCCACCUGUCCGUACAAAUGUAAACAUCAACAUUGCCACGUGGGAGUGCGCGACGUAAACAGUACAGGCAACGCCCCCCAACCAUCUGUCAAACGGCGCUGUCAUAUCGGCCUACUUUCGGAGGGGGCAAUUGACGUCGUCCGGGCCUGCGGCCCCUUUGAGCCCGAUACGACACCGCCCAACCACCAUCUAUAUUCAAACCUCCCGCUCGUGCGUGCGUGUGUGCGUGUGUGUCUAGCCCGGCAAGAGGGCGCUUAGAAGCAGUGCGGCGACCCCUAAAAUUGCUAUGUUAAUAUUAAUUGUAAGCCUUUUUGUUGUUUUCAUCCAUCUUCGCCCCAGUGCUGUGCAGUUUACUUGUGUUUUCUUUAAUUUAAAUAAGUUACCUUAAAUAACUAUAGACGUUGCCCGGGCGGACCCGAACAGGCACGGACUUGGACGAGGAUAGGAAUGCUUUUAUAUAAAUUAUCAUUAAAUAAGUAAAUAGUAACAAACUUUCCAUUGUCAGUAAUUUUUAUAUAUUUUUAAUGUUUAUCUGUAAUUUACUCAACUUUCGCCGGGGCACGGAGUCGUAGAAUAUAGUAACGGUAAUUGCGUUGGCGCGAAGGGCGCCAUGUUGCCACCUGCGAGCGAUGAGCUCAGCCCAGUCCAUCUUCAUCACUGACCGAGAGCAGACGCGCCAGCACCCCGGGGACCUCAACCUUUGUUCAUCACUGACCAAGUAAUUUCUGUAUCGUUAAUUCUUUUUAAAUCGCUUUCGUUCGUCAUCCUCGGGGCAGCUCUCGGUCAGCGGGCUGUUUAAUUAAUUAAUUGUCUCAGUCGAGUUUUUCAUCACCGUGUAAUAAGUAUACUUUGCAGCAUGGCCACGUGUGUGGACCAUGCCCUCACCUAAACCGAUUCGUGCCUCAGGCUUUUUAACCGUGUAAUGUGUAACGUGUAACGGGCGUGUAGAGAGACGUGUUAGUGAAAUUAAAUCUGGAGAAUAAAUAUAAAGUGAGUACUUAUUUAAUCACGUGGUGAGUGAGUCUAGGAGUGUGGCGUGCCCGACGCCUAGAGCGGGCCAGGUCUGGGUAGCUAGGAUAGAAAGGGCUGGUAACUCGUCCCCACUUGGGCUACGUCACGCCCUGAGUGAGAGACUCCGCCGGGUCCACGUGCCCUUCCACGUGGUGGCGCCCAUAGUUAACAUCUCGAAAUAACCGGCAAUGCGCGAUCAGCCCUCAAUAUAAUAAUUAAUAAUUCAGUUAUACACCGUGCACUGAUGCAACAAUCAGAAACAUUCGUACAUAAAAAUAUGUUAGUUUCAACAACAGGUUGAAAUGCAUCUCUUAGCUCAACGAAGUCAUAUAACAUAGUCACAGGUACUAUUUGUUGCUGCAAAUUGUAUUUGAAGUUUGCAAAAUUACGGAACUAGUCGUCUUAAGUCAUCCGAAACGUGGUGACGUUAUGAGGCAAAAAUCGUAAUUUUGUUCACCCUGACUUUCCCCAUUCUAUAACAUGAAGUGAGUAUACAGGAAGAUGUGUGGCUUUUACGGUGGGACGACUCAUCGCGGAGGCAGCGGCCAAGUCGAACCUCAAGCGGGUGUCGUUGGAGCUCGGUGGCAAGAGUCCCCUUGUUGUUUU